ACAAUGGGCGCAAGCCUGAUCCAGCCAUGCCGCGUGCAGGAUGAAGGCCUUCGGGUUGUAAACUGCUUUUGUACGGAACGAAAAGGCUCUUUCUAAUAAAGAGGGCUCAUGACGGUACCGUAAGAAUAAGCACCGGCUAACUACGUGCCAGCAGCCGCGGUAAUACGUAGGGUGCGAGCGUUAAUCGGAAUUACUGGGCGUAAAGCGUGCGCAGGCGGUGAUGUAAGACAGUUGUGAAAUCCCCGGGCUCAACCUGGGAACUGCAUCUGUGACUGCAUCGCUGGAGUGCGGCAGAGGGGGAUGGAAUUCCGCGUGUAGCAGUGAAAUGCGUAGAUAUGCGGAGGAACACCGAUGGCGAAGGCAAUCCCCUGGGCCUGCACUGACGCUCAUGCACGAAAGCGUGGGGAGCAAACAGGAUUAGAUACCCUGGUAGUCCACGCCCUAAACGAUGUCAACUGGUUGUUGGGAAUUCACUUUCUCAGUAACGAAGCUAACGCGUGAAGUUGACCGCUGGGGAGUACGGCCGCAAGG
rnacentral:rRNA from 1 species